rnacentral:rRNA from 1 species
UUGGAGGGCAAGUCUGGUGCCAGCAGCCGCGGUAAUUCCAGCUCCAAUAGCGUAUAUUAAAGUUGUUGCAGUUAAAAAGCUCGUAGUUGAAUUUCGGGGUCAGUAGGCUGGUCGUGCCACAGGUAUGUACUGGUCUCACUGAUUCCUCCUUCCUGAUGAACCGUAAUGCCAUUAAUUUGGUGUUGCGGGGAAUCUGGACUGUUACUUUGAAAAAAUUAGAGUGUUUAAAGCAGGCUAACGCUUGAAUACAUUAGCAUGGAAUAAUGAAAUAGGACGUUCGAUCCUAUUUUGUUGGUUUCUAGGAUUGACGUAAUGAUUAAUAGGGAUAGUUGGGGGCAUUAGUAUUCAAUUGUCAGAGGUGAAAUUCUUGGAUUUAUUGAAGACUAACUACUGCGAAAGCAUUUGCCAAGGAUGUUUUCAUUAAUCAGGAACGAAAGUUAGGGGAUCGAAGACGAUCAGAUACCGUCGUAGUCUUAACCAUAAACUAUGCCGACUAGGGAUCGGACGGUGUUAGUAUUUUGACCCGUUCGGCGCCUUACGGGAAA